GGCUCGGGUGCGUGCCCGCCGUGUGUCACAUCGGUGCACUUGCUGUGUGAACGCGGGUCUGCACGCCGCCCACGGCACGUAGGCCUGUAAUAUCUGCGUGUAUGCACAGAAUUUGACGUACCACAGAAUCGUUAGGGGUUGGGAGGCACCUCUGGAGAUCAUCUCGACCUACUCUCCUGCCAAGACAGAGUCACCUGGAUCAGGCAAAUGUGAGAAGACCACUUCCCACUGGUCUCAGAUUAUAUGCAGGACAGUGGCUGAGGAUUGGAUUAGCAAAGCAACACAAGCUUAGAGACCACUAAGAGCAGUCUUCCAACUUUUCUUCUGUCAGCAUCAUCUUCCCACCAGCACUUUCCAGAAAAUACUUGUUUUCUGCUUUAAUUCAUCGUACAUCUUUUCUGUUUUAAUUCGUUGUACAUCUCAAAAGAGGGCUCAUAUGGGACCUCUGACCCCCUAUGCCCUCCUGCAGACACUCAUCAUCUCUAACUGCAGUGUGUUGAACAUCGAUGCAGGUGCCCUGGUUUGUAAAUCCUUGCUGGAGGCUGCACUGCUUUAAUUAAGACUGCUUAGUGCCUAGAAAAAGCAAUUUGUUUCAGCAUUCAGUUCUAAACAGUUGACUUAGCUAUACAGUCUUAGAUAUGUAGUUUAAAUAUAUGUGCAAUUUUUUCUUUAGUAAAAGGUGUCUGGGGAAGGAGAAGGCAAGUUAUAGCUAGAGUAUAUAUGGCUCAGUACUAAUUUUAAAUAACAAAGGACAAGAAAAGAAAUGCACAGUUUUUAUAUUGUGUAGUGCAUGUUUUGGCCUUUUGCCCAGGGACAAGUUAUGCUAGGAUUAAAAUACCCAUGCUGCUAUUAUUUUUGUUUGUUACCUCUAUUAUUAGUCUUCAGCAGCUAUGUAAAAUUGUUUCCUAUGAGAAAGGUACUAAAUAUACCUUUGGAUAAAAGCAGAGCAUUAGAAUAUUUUGUUUGGAUUUAUACUUCAGUGAGCUUCAUCAAUAUAAACCACAGCAAAUCUUUGCAAAAAAAAAAAAAAUUGGCAAGGCCUUUUCUGCUCUGUUGGGAGAAUGGGUUGAAAAGCAGAAGACAGCUGGGAGUAGCUCUUGGUAAGACUGUGUGAACAGCAGACCUGUCAUCCUGGUAUAUGGACUGAGUUUAACAGUGCCUGCUCUCCACUUGUUUAGCCCAGGUGUUGCUUUAGGGCUCCUCCAGUUAGCAUGAUAAUGGACAUAAAUUCACUCUUUGUGCCUUAGCCUUUGGUUUGUGCCUGUCCCAGCUGUCUGCCAGUGGUGGCUCACACACUCCCUCCUCCCACAGACUGCUAAAUUUUAUUUCAGUAAGGAAAAAUAAAAACAACAUUAAAAGAAAAUGAAAGUCCAAGUCAAAUCUUCAAACCAAUCUGAACUCAAUAAAUGCUGGCUGCCUUUAACUUCUCCAAUGUGUGUCCUUCCCACACAGGCUGCAGUACUUCAAGAACUGCUCCAGAGUGGAGCCCUUCCAGGGGUCCAGGGCUCAUGGCAGGAGCCUGCUCCAGAACAGGAUUCUGAUGGGAUCACAUGUGCCUUUGGACAUCCACCUGCCCCAGCAUGGGAUCCUCCAUGGGCUGUCAGUGGUUCUGUGCUCUACAGUGGACUCCUCCCCAGGUCACAGUCGCUUAUACUCAAGUUCACAUUGGAGUUCCAGCCUGUCCAAUGUGACAGCACAGGAGCACAGAUUGCCCUGGGCACCCUCCAGCCCAGGCACGUUGACAUGGCUGUCUCCAAAGUGUUCCAGGCACAAAUGCCAAGGUGACCACCAGUGUAGCCAGAAGCAAAAUCAGAGCAGCCACUAACAAGCACUGGGUUCCAACAGGCAGACAGGAAAAGGAGCCCCAUGGCAAGCACAGUAGCCUGCCAGUUAAUAGCUAAACAGCAGCAACAGCUACAAAUUCAUUGUAGCACAUUCAGUGAAAUCUGCCCCUUCAUGCACUACACUGGGUGCUAAAACAACUGGUAUGGUAUAACUGCAGCUGUUCUUUCUUUCAUUUUAAUCACUUGUUUUUCUGGAAUUUUAUUUUGUCUCUCCUUGUUUUGUCUUCAUUUCACCUUGCAAUUCAUUAUUAUUUCUACUAUUACUAUUUCUAACCUAUUAAACUGCUGUUAGUUAC